rnacentral:rRNA from 1 species
CUUGGUCAUUUAGAGGAAGUAAAAGUCGUAACAAGGUUUCCGUAGGCGAACCUGCGGAAGGAUCAUUCAUAAUAAGUGUUUUAUGGCACUCUUUAAAUCCAUAUCCACCUUGUGUGCAAUGUCAGUCGAUCUUCUUCAUGGAGAUCGGCCAAACAUCAACCUUAUUUUUUAACUCUUUGUCUGAAAAAUAUUAUGAAUAAACAAUUCAAAAUACAACUUUCAACAACGGAUCUCUUGGCUCUCGCAUCGAUGAAGAACGCAGCGAAAUGCGAUACGUAAUGUGAAUUGCAGAAUUCAGUGAAUCAUCGAAUCUUUGAACGCAUAUUGCGCUCUUUGGUAUUCCGAAGAGCAUGCUUGUUUGAGUAUCAGUAAACACCUCAAAGCUUUUGGAUUUUUUUUGAAAGCUUUGGACUUGAGCAAUCCCAACGCCAAUCUUUUUCAGAUCGGCGGCGGGUUGCUUGAAAUGCAGGUGCAGCUGGACUUUCUCCUGAGCUAAAAGCAUAUUCAUUUAGUCCCGUCAAACGGAUUAUUACUUUUGCUGCGGCUAACAUAAAGGGAGUUUGACCGUAUUGGCUGACUGAUGCAGGAUUUUACAAGGGUCGGCAACGAUUCUUGUUAAACUCGAUCUCAAAUCAAGUAAGACUACCCGCUGAACUUAAGCAUAUCAAUAAGCGGAGGA